CAACACCAAACACUCCCCUCGUCAGGAUUCUGCUACCAGUGCUGUGUAGUUUUUUGCCGGCACUGCCUGCUCUCUUCUCUCCCUCUCACAGGUGACUGCAGUUUGACAGCUGGGCGUGGUGCACACCUGUGGCUCGUUCGGCGGCUCCGUGCUGAGGCAUAAAAGCGGAGUUCAGUCAGCUGGAGGAUGCCAGAUUGUUAACCUUCUUGGUAUGAUUCAGUGGCCUCUGUCUCAUGACAGCAAACCCUUUUCCUGUGCUAAACUCUUCCUGUCUCUCCCAGAGUGGCCUCGCACUUAGGAUUUCAAUCCAAGCGCCCCACGUAUCCCCAAGUCUCAGUUGAAAGCUCCGAGUUUCCUUGUUGCGGAUCCCACUCUGGAAAUCUGGUCAACAAAGUUGGGCUGAGAUCCCUUCCCACACUUCUCUGGUUCCUCCAGCUGCUCUCCGCUCACUGCUUUCGGCUACAGUGCUGCUCGGACUGCCUCGCCCCAUCUGCCCGCCCACCUGUUGAUCAGUCAUCGUUUCCAUCAUAGAAGUGAGCCUUGCCGAAUCCGCCCGCCAGAAUCAUUCCCCCCACGGAUAGGUUACCCGAACCCGACGUGUGAUUGGUCCCGCUCCUGCGUUUCUGUCUGCCACUCCCUCUGCGAGCCUGUCACUGAUCAGUCCCGCCCCUGCUGUGCUGUCAGCUGAUCUGCAUUGCGAGCCUCUCUGUUGCACGUACCUGAACAAACAUCUUAAACCGCUUUGUGUCUCCUGAUAGUGAUCUGCAUGUGGGUUAAGCACUUGAAGGUCAUGACACCCCUAACUGUACUUUUGAAUUGACAAUUCAGAACUGUCAAUGCAAGUUUUUGUUGGAACAUGCUCUUGUAGUUACUUUCAUUUUACAAUGAAGGCACUCCACAUUGUUGCUCCCAAUAACUUUAAACUGCAGCAUGAUGCUUUUUCACUUUCGGAUGCAUUACAUAGUUAUACUACACGGCCACGCGACACAGUCACACAUUCUCCUUACCACUGUCUGCUGUCUUACUGGCAUUUGAACAUCUCCCCCUCUCUCUGUUUCCAUAUAUUGGUAUUAUUGUCAGGACUCAGUCAGCAGGGCUGUGUAGCUUGCUACCGGUUCUGCUGCCCUUGCCUUUUUUCCACAGGUGUUCGGUGUUGGCCAGUGGGCGGAGCCCACACACCUGCGGACGGUUGAGCAGCACCAGGCAGCUCCAUUUAAGCAGCACACAGACAGCGGGAAGAUGCCAGAGUGUUACCGUCGUGGUUCCUCUGUUUGUCCCGAAGUCCUCCUCCUGUGUCAACAACUCCAAGUCCUCCUCUCGUGCCCGCUCCUCUGAGCUCCUCUCGAGUCAGUUCCUCGUUCUGGGAUUCUGUUACCUCCGGACAUCUACUGGUGACUCCCGCUGCUCUGGGGGAUCUAGCUCAACCGUGAGCUAGAUCCCGCUGACUUUGCGGAGCUUGAAUGUCCAAUAUCAAACCAACUUCACCGUGGUCUGCACUAGGCCUAUAAGCGACACUACAGCCACCAACUACGCACCUAGAAGGCAUUUUAUCUUGUAAUUAGUUCUGUGAUAUUUUUUAUAAGUGUUUGCUCAAAGUACACGUGGAUCCGCAGAUUUGGUGUGUGAAAGAAGAUCCCGGAAAACAUGCAUAUAUAUCUUGGUUUGCCGUACCGGUUGUACAAUGUAAACAAUGUGUGCUUCUAUGCAAGUUCGAUUCGCGCGUUCUCGGUGUUCUUGAACUGACGUCACACUGUCGGAAAUGGCCAAUCGUAAACGGAGGCAGC